rnacentral:misc_RNA from 1 species
AACCGAUUUUGAUAAUUCUUUUUUUUUUUUAUUUUAAUUUUUUUUUUUUUUUUUUUUUUUUUUUUUUUUUUUUUUUUUUUUUUUUUUUUUUUUUUUUUUUUUUUUUUUUUUUUUUUUAAAUAUAUAGACUAGCGCUUGACUGCGAUCUCACCCGAAGUCAAGUGAAGAUGCAGCCUAAGGUGGUGCGCGCUUGCCUAGAAGAUGCCUAUUCACUCUUGAUUUAAAGAUACCUAAGUUAUAGUUCGUUGGAAAAACGGAAGCCGGAAGGGCAUUCCAAAUUUUAGCGGUGCGAAUUAGGAACGAGGAAGCAAAUCGUUUAGUGCGAGAUCGUGGGAUUUCAACCACAUAGCGGUGCAGAUUCAUGCGAUGCCUUGCGGUUCGGUGGUAGAAAGGUGAUGGUGGAAUCAAAUUGUAUAGUUCUAGAGCACACUCUCCGAAAUAUAACCUGUAAAAUACCGACAAA